UAUUAAGUUCAUGGAAAAACAGAGUAAUGCAAUAAGAACAAUGACAUGAUGUAGACAAGAUCUAUUUAUGUAGAUAUAGACCCCAUCUUGUUAUCCUUAAUAGCAAUGAUACGUACGUGUCGUUUCCCUUUCUGUCACUAGCAUCAAGCACCGUAAGAUCGAAUCCAUCACAAAUCACCUCUUCCCAUUGCAAGAUAAAUAGAUCAAGUUGGCCAAAUAAAACUCAAAUAUCGGAGAAGAAAUACGAGGCU
rnacentral:lncRNA from 1 species